CUAGAGUGACUUGUACCUGCUUGCAAGAACCAAUUGUUAAAUUUUCAGGAAUUUUGCAAGGAAGUUGACAUCAUGUUUAUAGUUUGAAUUUGGCCGUAAGAGUUUUUGCACCAUGGAAAUGGGCAGUUCUACAAAGAAGGGGUUCCCAGUUAAAUAGGAGCUCCAGUUAAAUGGCUUAACAUUUACCAGCACAUGACUGGCCAUCACCUAAACUGUGAAACCUCAAGGACUGGGACUGCACCUGACUUUUCUCUGUGCUCAGCACAGAGUCAGGCACAGAAGCCAACUGGCUUUACAGUGGGGGAUGACCUGGGGCCUGGAGAGAGGAUCCCUGAUAGGAGACUACUCCUGAGACAGCUAGUGAGAAGGCAGGUGGCAGAAGGGAACGGGUUGGAGAAAGGACCCUUGUGUGGCUGGUGAAAGCUUCCCUGCCAUAUCCUCAUCCCCCGACCACACAAUAGGGCACAGCUCAGCAGGCAACACAACCUUUAGUAUAAGUUACAGCCUCACACUGGCUCCUAGCCCAUGGAAGCCUCCAGAUGGGUCUAUGACAUUAGUCCCCAGAUGUUCAUCUCUUGGGCUGGGGGUACUCCUCAGAGCUAAGUCCACCGUGGCACCCAGUCCAUUCCAGACCACUGUGCAAACUCAGCCCUCAUUACUUACCAGGGUUUUCUGGCCAACCUGUGACUUGGCCCCCACCCCAGGUAGCUCAGCUCCAGACUCUGGUAUGUGACCUUGGUAAGCCACCUUCCUCUCUGGGCCUGUUUCUCCAUUUGACUUGAUUAGGCUGGACUCCAACCUAGGUACCUUGGCAGUACAGCCAGCUACUUGCAUGGGAGUCAGGCCAGGGGUGUCAUUGACCUUGAGCUCUUGCCUUCCUUGAAACUUAAUUCCCCCAACUCAUACACACAAACGAUGACUAGGGGUUACCAUAUCUGGGGAGACCGUGGCGUCUGCACAAGUCCUGGU
rnacentral:lncRNA from 1 species